rnacentral:rRNA from 1 species
GACGAACGCUGGCGGCGUGCCUAAUACAUGCAAGUCGAACGCAGUGGGGACGGGUGAGUAACACGUGGGUAACCUCCCAUCAGAGGGGAUAACACUUGGAAACAGGUGCUAAACCGCUACUGAUGGAUGGACCCGCGGUGCAUUAGCUAGUUGGUGAGGUAACGGCUCACCAAGGCCACGAUGCAUAGCCGACCUUGAAGGGUGAUCGGCCAAACCGGGACUGAGACACGGCCCAGACCUCCACGGGAGGCAGCAGUAGGGAAUCUUCGGCAAUGGACGAAAGGCUGACCGAGCAACGCCGCGUGAGUGAAGACGGCCUUCGGGUUGUAAAGCUCUGUUAAUCGGGACGCGGUACCGGAAUAGAAAGCCACGGCUAACUACGUGCCAGCCGCCGCGGUAAUUC